AGAGUUUGAUCAUGGCUCAGAACGUACGCUGGCGGCACGCUUAACACAUGCAAGUCGAACGAAGUAGCAAUACUUAGUGGCAGACGGGUGAGUAACAUGUGGGUAUCUGCCCUUUGGCCUGGAAUAACACGAGGAAACUUGUGCUAAUACCGGAUAAGUCUUUACGGAGAAAGCUUUAUGCACCAUUGGAUGAGCCCGCACUUGAUUAGUUUGUUGGUGGGGUAAUGGCCUACCAAGACUGUGAUCAAUAGCUGAUUUGAGAGGAUGAUCAGCCACAUUGGGACUGAGACACGGCCCAAACUCCUACGGGAGGCAGCAGUGGGGAAUCUUGCACAAUGGAGGAAACUCUGAUGCAGCGAUGCCGCGUGAGUGAAGAAGGCCCUUGGGUUGUAAAGCUCUUUCGUCGGGGAAGAAAAUGACUGUACCCGAAUAAGAAGGUCCGGCUAACUUCGUGCCAGCAGCCGCGGUAAUACGAAGGGACCUAGCGUAGUUCGGAAUUACUGGGCUUAAAGAGUUCGUAGGUGGUUGAAAAAGUUAGUGGUGAAAUCCCAGAGCUUAACUCUGAAACUGCCAUUAAAACUUUUCAGCUAGAGUAUGAUAGAGGAAAGCAGAAUUUCUAGUGUAGAGGUGAAAUUCGUAGAUAUUAGAAAGAAUACCAAUUGCGAAGGCAGCUUUCUGGAUCAUUACUGACACUGAGGAACGAAAGCAUGGGUAGCGAAGAGGAUUAGAUACCCUCGUAGUCCAUGCCGUAAACGAUGUGUGUUAGACGUUGGAAAUUUAUUUUCAGUGUCGCAGCGAAAGCGAUAAACACACCGCCUGGGGAGUACGACCGCAAGGUUAAAACUCAAAUGAAUUGACGGGGACCCGCACAAGUAGUGGAGCAUGUGGUUUAAUUCGAAGAUACGCGCAGAACCUUACCAACACUUGACAUGUUCGUCGCGACUCUAAGAGAUUAGAGUUUUCGGUUCGGCCGGACGAAACACAGGUGCUGCAUGGCUGUCGUCAGCUCGUGUCGUGAGAUGUUGGGUUAAGUCCCGCAACGAGCGCAACCCUCACUUUUAGUUGCCAUCAUUAAGUUGGGCACUCUGAAAGAACUGCCAGUGAUAAGCUGGAGGAAGGUGGGGAUGACGUCAAGUCCUCAUGGCCCUUACGUGUUGGGCUACACACGUGCUACAAUGGUAUCUACAACAGGAAGCAAGACUGCGAGGUCAAGCAAAUCCUUAAAAGAUACCUCAGUUCGGAUUGCACUCUGCAACUCGAGUGCAUGAAGCUGGAAUUACUAGUAAUCGUGGAUCAGCGUGCCACGGUGAAUGCGUUCCCGGGUCUUGUACACACCGCCCGUCACACCAUGGGAGUUGGUUCUACCUUAAGGCAAGGUUUAAAACCCUUGACCACGGUAUAGUCAGCGACUGGGGUGAAGUCGUAACAAGGUAACC
rnacentral:rRNA from 1 species